UACAGAGGGGGCAAGCGUUAUUCGGAAUUAUUGGGCGUAAAGGGCGCGUAGGCGGCUUGGCAAGUGGAAGGUGAAAUCCCUCGGCUUAACCGAGGAACUGCCUUCCAGACUGUUAGGCUUGAGACCGGGAGAGGUGAGUGGAAUUCCAGUGUAGCGGUGAAAUGCGUAGAUAUUGGGAGGAACACCAGUGGCGAAGGCGGCUCACUGGACCGGUACUGACGCUG
rnacentral:rRNA from 1 species